UAGGGAAUCUUCGGCAAUGGGGGCAACCCUGACCGAGCAACGCCGCGUGAGUGAAGAAGGUUUUCGGAUCGUAAAGCUCUGUUGUAAGAGAAGAACGUGUGUGAGAGUGGAAAGUUCACACAGUGACGGUAACUUACCAGAAAGGGACGGCUAACUACGNGCAG
rnacentral:rRNA from 1 species